CCCGCGCAUGCACCGGCUGAGGUGAUGGCAGCUGUGGCCGUGGGGACGCGGGCGCUGGCGGGGUCCGGACGCCCGCUCCUGUGGGGUGGCGGCUGCCGGCGGCUCUGGGCGCUGCCAGCGGGACUCGCCGCCGCCGCCGCUGCUGCUUCUCCUCCCGCCGGCGCUUCGUCGCGCUCGGGCGCGCUGAGCCCCUUCGACCGGCGGCUGAAGCGGAAGCAGAAGAACUGGGCGGCGCUACAAGCCGAGCCCGGCAAGUGCGACUACCUGCGGGAGGAGGUCGGCGGGAGGAUAGCGGACAGGGUGUUUGACAUCCCCAGAACGUUUCCACUUGCUUUGGAUGUUGGCUCUGGAAGAGGUUACAUAGCUCAACAUUUAACCAAGGACACUGUUGAAAAACUUAUUCAAGUUGAUAUUGCAGAGAAUGCUUUAAAGAAUGCUGUGGAAUCUGAAAUCCCUACAGUCAGCGUUGUAGCUGAUGAGGAAUCCCUUCCUUUCAAAGAAGAUACCUUUGAUCUUGUCGUUAGUAGCUUAAGUUUACAUUGGGUGAAUGACCUUCCCAGAGCUUUUAGAGAGAUUCACCAAGUUCUUAAGCCAGAUGGAGUAUUCAUUGGUGCAAUGUUUGGGGGAGACACUCUAUACGAGCUUCGCUGCUCUUUGCAGCUAGCAGAAUUGGAGAGAGAAGGAGGAUUUUCUCCUCAUGUAUCGCCAUUCACUGCUGUCUCUGAUUUGGGACAUCUGCUGUCGAGAGCGGGCUUUAACACACUGACUGUGGAUACCGAUGAAAUUCAAGUCAACUACCCAGGGUUGUUUGAGGUUAUGGAAGACUUGCAAGGUAUGGGGGAGAGUAACUGCUCUUGGAAUAGAAAACCUCUGCUACACAGGGAGACAAUGUUGGCAGCUGCUGCAAUAUACCGAGAAAUGUAUGGAAAUAGCGAUGGUUCAGUACCUGCCACGUUUCAGAUCUUCUACAUGAUUGGCUGGAAAUUCCAUGAAUCACAGGCAAAACCAGCCCAGAGAGGUUCUGCAACAGUUUCAUUUGGAGAUCUGUCAAAAUUAGGUGGAUUUGUUUCAAAAGAAAAAAAAUAGUUUUCAUCAGAAAUAAUAGUUGUCUUGAAGCUGCUAUAAAACUUCUCAUUGCAGAUAGUCUUCACUUGAGCUUAUUUUGUGACAACAUUCUGAACUGAUGAUUAUCUGCACACAGCAGGACUUUUUGGUUUUGUACUGCCUAUGCUACAACAUCAGCUGUGUAAAAUUAUGUCAAUUUCUUGUUUCUAGAGAAAUAUUUGAGCAGUAUUCAAAGAAUAAAUGCUCUCCUGACUUUUGAUUAAAAUACUAUUCUCAAAUGUAAUGCCUCUUUCAGCGUUUCAGAAUCCCAGACUGCUCCAGGUAUGAUUUGCAAGUCUUGAGUGUAUUUCACCCUGCAUGGUUUUUUAAUUAUUCUUAAAGGUUGGUAGAUCAUAAUAAAGAGUUAUACUUGGUGGCAAGUGUAUUUAUAAGACUUCCUGUUAGAGAAAACACCUGCAAAUACACAAAUCUAAUUUAUGGUUUUUAUGUGUUGGAAAUUAUGGGUAAGAAGUUACUAUCAGUUAUUGUUUGAAAUGCAAAUGUUUGAGUCGUGUAUAAGGAAGUGAUUGAGUAAGCUCUGUAUGAUAAAAAUACUUUGGGUUGCUACCCGUCACCUACAGCCCUCAAAUCCAGGACCUUUUCACCCCCAAAGCUAGAAAAGUUUCUGCGCAUGAAUAGUAGAGCUCAGCCAUAAAGAGAGUUGGAUGCUCCAUUGUAGCUCUAACAGAAUGUACAUAUCGUGAUUUGACUUAAUUUACUGAAAGGAGUAGUAAGCAGAAGAGUCAUCCAGCACUCAGAUGGAUGGGUACGUAUCACAUGACUUAAUUGGCUUAGAAUUGGCAUUCUCUGGAGUUGGUACACUUUUGGAGUUCCAUGGCUUUUUGGUUUUUAUCUCUUAGCAUUUGAAAAAUUAGAAGUGAUACUUUAAAUGUUAGUUUAAAAUUCCAUUUACACAUUACUUUCUGCUAUGCUACUAUCAGAGGCUGAGAAGCAUUAAGUAUACUUCUUGUUUUCUCCUUAGCUGUGACAUGGAGCUGUGACUUUUCCUGUAUAUAACUGCAUUACCAGAGAUUGAUACUAGUCACAAAUAUGGCCUAUUAACCUGAGGUGUUCAGAAAAAAUACCUACCCAGAGAUUUCACCUGAUUGUAGUCCUGAUAAUGUUAGAAACAAAAAGCAUGAAAAAUAGAUAAUCAGGUAUGGUGUUCAAGCAAUUUUAUCAUUGCAUCUAGGUGUUGCAUCAAUCCUGGUGAAACCAAAACUUCUGUAGGCUUGCUUUAAGAUUAUCCAGCAGGUGGAGUUUGACAGAAUGGUGUGGCACAGAUCGAAUAGACAAGAUUUAAGUCUUUAUGGCUUUCUAAAAUUACAAUGAAGAAUGUGGUUGCUAGUUGCUAGUCUAGAAAUCAUUUUAAACCCUGAAGUGCAUGUUAAAAAUCAGCUUUUGCAGAGUAAGUAACUUCUAAAUAGUAGUUGCUAAGGUGACAUAACGUCUUUUGUAAGCUUCAUUUUAAAAAUCUUUAUGCAAUAUACAGAAUGUUUUUCUCCUGAUUACAGAAGAAUGGAAAAAAGAAUUCUGAGAGAAUUAUUUUGACUAAUCAAAAGUUAGGAGCCCAUAAAUAAAGUUUAAAAGAAAUAUGUUUACACUUACUGAAUGUUAGUAUUUUUGAUCCUUAAAAAAGGUUCUGAGUCUCAGAUUAAUGAGUAUGUUUCUUUAGUGUCUUUGAUUGCAAGAUCUGUCAAUAUAUAUUUUUAUGCACAUCUGCUUAGGAUAUAGGGAUGGUUAAUGAGGCCCUACAUUUUGUAAGCAAAGCAUUAGAUUUUGCAGACCUUAAUGCUUUCAAAAGGCCGAGCAUUUGUGAAGUUAAAAUGAGGGAAAGGCUUUUUGAUUACCUCUAAUUUAUAGAAAUGUCCUCAGCAGAAGUGCAGAAGCGAACCACAUCAAAUUAAAUUAAACUUCUUUUUCCUCUGCCUUUUUCCGUGUUUUCUGGAAAAGUGUCGUAAACCUGACCUUUGUCAGUUGAAGGAGAAACACACCAAUCUUUCAUAUGGUGUUUAAUUGGAAUUUUCUGAUGCAAAGAUCUCAUCUAGUGGAUUAAAUGCAUUAUUGCUCAAGCCACAUGAAGAAAGUUAGCAUGUAUGUUAAACCUGUUAAAUUUUCACUUGUCUAAUUCAAGAACUUAAUAUUCAUUUUGCAAAGACAUGAUCUAUUUUGGUGCACGUUUUGGAGCCGUUCUGGGGGGGAGUACAGUUAUUGUAGUAGUUUAACUGGAAUGAGUCGGGAGUACUGAAGCAAAUGUGUCACGUUUAGCUAGUUGGUUUAUUUCUUGAAUAUCCUGGGUGCCCUCAGGGGAAGGAAAAGGAAAAGGAAAAAGAGAAGAAAAAGAAAAACCUGGAACAGUUAAGUUUUAGUCAGAGGCUGCUUAUCAGUGUGGAGUGGAAAGCACUCAAGAGAGCACAUGUGCCUGUUCAGGAGAAAAUUACUUAUGGCUUUAGUCAAGUUAGAGUGGUUUCUUGAUUUAUUAAUAGUUUGUAAUUAACUGUUAGUCCAUGAACUAUGCAUACACAAUCAGUAGCAGCAAUGUAACAGAUGAAUGACUGGACUAGAGCUUUACAAAACCUUAGUAAACAACUCAAGAUACCUGAACACUUUUCUACAGCAAUCCUCCACAAGUUUGCAGUUACGUGCUCACCUCUAUCCCUUUAACUAAUUUGGUUUAAAGAGCCAAGUUAGCCUAUUUACAUCCAUCUUCUUUGGAGGUGUGGAUGCUAUAAGCUGUUCCCGACAUUCCAGUAAUCCACCCUCUUGCUGGGAUAGCAGCCCACAAGGUGAGGUGCAACCACUUCAGGGGCGGUCAGUGCGGGUUGCACCUUGUACUGUGGGCAGGCAUGCAGGCUACUCCUGGCUGCUGGGUAGGAUCCUUCCUCAGGCCUCCACACAGCUUGUGAUGCCAGGAGGGCAUCUUCUCGGUGGCAGACCAAGUUUUGAUUGCUUCUCUCUCCUUCCUGUUGGAAAUGUCAGUGCCUUUUACACUUGAUUUUAAGCUGACUUCCUGCUCCUCGCAGGUCUCCUGGUAACUGCCUGGUUACUGUUUAAUGUGGCUGAUGGUUGUCUUCAUUUUCAGUCUUACCAGAUUUUGAGCAAACACCCUCUCAGUUUUGGAUAUUCUGUUCACAUACAUACUUCUCUGUCCAGGGACAGAGCAGCUAAUGUCCAGGCUUUUUUCUUUUGCCAAGAGAAGGCCAUGUGGAUUUCCCCCAUGAUUUGAAGCUGUUCCUUCAGGUACAAGGUACAUUCAUAAAAGAAAGAGACAAAGUCCUUCUCAGAAAAAAUGUUUCUGUUUGGAACCUUUUGUUGGCGGAAUGAUGACAAAUACUGGGGAAUCUGAUUUGGCCUCAAAGUGUUCAUUGUAGACCAGAAUGUAUUACAAUAAAGCAGUUUUCUAAUGAUAAUGCCUGAAAUAAAGAGGCUACACUUUUCCAGCGCUAA